AUUUGAUGCUGAGGGCAACUUGCACAUAACUUCUUAAAUCUCUCCUAAUAUUCAUAAAAUGUUUCUCCAUUCAUUUUUAAGAACCCACAAAUAUCUCUUUUUAUUGC